UAAACUAGGAUUAGAUACCCUAUUAUUUUAAAUGUAAAAAUUUUACUAAAUUAGUAUUUGUUAAGUUCAUGAAAAUUAAAGAAUUUGGCGGUAUUUUAGUCUUUUCAGAGGAACCUGUUCUAUAAACGAUAGUCCACGAUUUAUUCUACUUAAUUUAAUUAAUUUGUAUAUCGCUGUAGUUGAAUAUUUUAUAAGAAAAUUAAUGUUCAUAAUUUUUUUAAAAAAAAACAUCAAGUCAAGGUGCAGUUUAUAAUUAAGAUGAAAUGGGUUACAAUAAAGGUAUUUAUUACGAAUUAUGAAGUUAAAAUUUUGUAUAAAGGAGGAUUUGAAAGUAAUGGUAAAUAAAUUUUUACUAUGAUUUAAGCUCUAAAAUAUGCACACAUCGCCCGUCGCUCUUAA
rnacentral:rRNA from 1 species